rnacentral:rRNA from 1 species
GACGAACGCUGGCGGCGUGCUUAACACAUGCAAGUCGAACGAAGUGGCGAACGGGUGAGUAACGCGUAAUCAACCUGCCCUUCAGAGGGGGACAACAGUUGGAAACGACUGCUAAUACCGCAUACUGCACGAGGGGCUUGCGUCUGAUUAGCUAGUUGGAGGGGUAACGGCCCACCAAGGCGAUGAUCAGUAGCCGGUGUGAGAGGAUGAACGGCCACAAUGGGACUGAGACACGGCCCAGACUCCUACGGGAGGCAGCAGUGGGGAAGCUUCCGCAAUGGAAGAAAGUCUGACGGAGCAACGCCGCGUGAGUGAUGACGGCCUUCGGGUGGUAAAGCUCUGUUAAUCGGGACGCGGUACCGGAAUAGAAAGCCACGGCUAACUACGUGCCAGCAGCCGCGGUAAUUC